GGCAUGCCUUACACAUGCAAGUCGAACGGCAGCGCGGGAGCAAUCCUGGCGGCGAGUGGCGAACGGGUGAGUAAUACAUCGGAACGUGCCCAAUCGUGGGGGAUAACGCAGCGAAAGCUGUGCUAAUACCGCAUACGAUCUACGGAUGAAAGCAGGGGAUCGCAAGACCUUGCGCGAAUGGAGCGGCCGAUGGCAGAUUAGGUAGUUGGUGAGGUAAAGGCUCACCAAGCCUUCGAUCUGUAGCUGGUCUGAGAGGACGACCAGCCACACUGGGACUGAGACACGGCCCAGACUCCUACGGGAGGCAGCAGUGGGGAAUUUUGGACAAUGGGCGCAAGCCUGAUCCAGCCAUGCCGCGUGCAGGAUGAAGGCCUUCGGGUUGUAAACUGCUUUUGUACGGAACGAAACGGCCUUUUCUAAUAAAGAGGGCUAAUGACGGUACCGUAAGAAUAAGCACCGG
rnacentral:rRNA from 1 species